UACGUAGGGACCAAGCGUUGUUCGGAUUUACUGGGCGUAAAGGGCGCGUAGGCGGCGUGUUAAGUCACUUGUGAAAUCUCUAAGCUUAACUUAGAACGGUCAAGUGAUACUGAUGUGCUAGAGUGCAGAAGGGGCAACCGGAAUUCUUGGUGUAGCGGUGAAAUGCGUAGAUAUCAAGUGGAACACCAGUGGCGAAGGCGAGUCCCUGGACGACUCCUGACACUGAGGCACGAAAGCUAGGGGAGCAAACAGG
rnacentral:rRNA from 1 species